rnacentral:rRNA from 1 species
CCCACCUGACCCCAUGCCGAACUCAGAAGUGAAACGCCGUAGCGCCGAUGGUAGUAUGGGGUCUUCCCAUGCGAGAGUAGGGAACUGCCAGAC